CAUACCCUCUUAAACUGACUAUCCUGAAAGGAUAGAGAGAGAUGGAUGGAUGGAUGGAUGGUGAGGUCCCGAGUGGUGCAGCGGUCUAAGGGACUGCAGUGCUGAGGUGCCACUAUUGCCUGGGUUUUGGCCGGGGGGCUUUAUUUGGCUCAUCGCACUCUAGCAACUCCUUGUGGCGGGCCGGGUACUUGAAAGCUGACUUCAGUCGUCCACUCCUGCGUGGAGUGUGUUUAAGAAGUAGGGGCUCGGUAAAUCAUGUUUCGGAGGAUGCAUGUCUCAACCUUCGACUUUCCCAAGCCCAUUAAGGAGUUGCAGCGAUGAGACAAGGUUGUAACUGGGAAGAAAAUGCUAUAUAUAUAUAUAUUUUAAUAUAUAUAUUUUUUUAAUUGGAUAGAUGGAGAAAGCAGGGAAAGACAGGGUGAAAGAUGGAAUCUACCCUAUAUUAUAUUUCUCCAUGGAGGACUACUUAUAUUCUAAAUAACACGUGUGCCUGUAUGCAGCCCCUCCUGUAUGCAGCCCUCCUGUAUGCAGCCCUUCCUGUUUGCCCCUCCUGUAUGCAGCCCUUCCUGUAUGCAGCCCUUCCUGUUUGCCCCUCCUGUAUGCAGCCCCUCCUGUAUGCAGCCCCUCCUGUAUGCAGCCCUUCCUGUUUGUCCCUCCUGUAUGCAGCCCUUCCUGUUUGCCCCUCCUGUAUGCAGCCCUUCCUGUUUGCCCCUCCUGUAUCCAGCCCCUCCUGUUUUCCCCUCCUGUAUGCAGCCCUUCCUGUUUUCCCCUCCUGUAUGCAGCCCUUCCUGUUUGCCCCUCCUGUAUAUAGCCCUUCCUGUUUGCCCCUCCUGUAUGCAGCCCUUCCUGUUUGCCCCUCCUGUAUGCAGCCCUUCCUGUUUGCCCCUCCUGUAUGCAGCCCUUCCUGUUUGCCCCUCCUGUAUGCAGCCCUUCCUGUUUUCCCCUCCUGUAUGCAGCCCUUCCUGUUUGCCCCUCCUGUAUAUAGCCCUUCCUGUUUGCCCCUCCUGUAUGCAGCCCUUCCUGUUUUCCCCUCCUGUAUGCAGCCCUUCCUGUUUGCCCCUCCUGUAUAUAGCCCUUCCUGUUUGCCCCUCCUGUAUGCAGCCCUUCCUGUUUGCCCCUCCUGUAUAUAGCCCUUCCUGUUUUCCCCUCCUGUAUGCAGCCCCUCCUGUAUGCAGCCCUUCCUGUUUUUCCCUCCUGUAUGCGUGGGGCUACAAUAACUGCCAGGUGGUGCCAGGGUCCACAGCCAACCAGCCCAACCCCAGGAGUUUGUCCAACUGUCUGCAGAACAAGGUGGCUGUUAGCGUCACCUGAGGUCAAACCUACUCUGGCUGUGGUUGAGAAUGGAGAGUUGAGUGAGAGUGACCACUGUUUGAACGUGGGUUUGAUAUGAAAUGUGUUUAAUAUUUGAAUCUAAUCAGCCUGUGUGUGUUUCUCUCAGUUGUGCUGCUGGGCAACAAUGGGAAUCAGCUGACACCUUGUUGCGUGGUGGGCCUGCAGGGUCUCUGUGUGCAACAGAGUACUGUGCGUGUCUUCUAUCCGGACCAUGAUGACUUCCUGAUGGUGGCCCAGUCUCUGAAGGAGAAGUUUGAUAUCCCAGAGACGGCCGACCUCAAGUUCAGCGUGGACGGUGCAAACAUCCACGUACAGGCCAUGCUCCACGUCAGGUGUUCCAGUACCAUUGGAAUGAGGUUUGAAGGAGGUGAUAGAGAUCGACCAGUUCUCCUACCCCGUAUACCGCUCCUUUCUGGAGUUCCUCUACACCAGGGGUCUCCAACCUUUUAAUAGCAUGAUAACUACUUUUUAAAAAUGAAGCAUGUUGUGAGCUAGUCAUUCUUAUUUUUAGCUUUCAAAUAGGCACAUUCUUCUCCUCUCCCAUGCAACUCUUCCCACGGGACUUUAGUGUCCAAGAAGUAAAUGUUUUCAGUCAAUAAACCUGGUAAAAUAAUGAUGAAUAAAUAACUAAAGGGGUCUCUCGAGUGGCGCAGCGGUCUAAGGCACUGCAUCGCUGUGUUGCGGCGUCACUACAUCCUGGGGUUCUAAGCCGCUGUGUCACAACCGCGCAUGACCGGGAGUCCCAUAGGGCUGCACACAAUUGACCCAUCGUCGUCUGGGUUAGGGGAGGAUUUGUCCGGGGGGCUUUACUUGGCACAUCGCGCUCUAGCGAC